CAUAGGUUAAUGAGGCGAACCGGGGGAACUGAAACAUCUAAGUACCCCGAGGAAAAGAAAUCAACCGAGAUUCCCCCAGUAGCGGCGAGCGAACGGGGAGGAGCCCAGAGCCUGAAUCAGUGUGUGUGUUAGUGGAAGCGUCUGGAAAGGCGCGCGAUACAGGGUGACAGCCCCGUACACAAAAAUGCACAUACUGUGAGCUCGAUGAGUAGGGCGGGACACGUGGUAUCCUGUCUGAAUAUGGGGGGACCAUCCUCCAAGGCUAAAUACUCCUGACUGACCGAUAGUGAACCAGUACCGUGAGGGAAAGGCGAAAAGAACCCCGGCGAGGGGAGUGAAAAAGAACCUGAAACCGUGUACGUACAAGCAGUGGGAGCCUCUUAAUGGGGUGACUGCGUACCUUUUGUAUAAUGGGUCAGCGACUUAUAUUCUGUAGCAAGGUUAACCGAAUAGGGGAGCCGAAGGGAAACCGAGUCUUAACUGGGCGUUAAGUUGCAGGGUAUAGACCCGAAACCCGGUGAUCUAGCCAUGGGCAGGUUGAAGGUUGGGUAACACUAACUGGAGGACCGAACCGACUAAUGUUGAAAAAUUAGCGGAUGACUUGUGGCUGGGGGUGAAAGGCCAAUCAAACCGGGAGAUAGCUGGUUCUCCCCGAAAGCUAUUUAGGUAGCGCCUCGUGAAUUCAUCUCCGGGGGUAGAGCACUGUUUCGGCAAGGGGGUCAUCCCGACUUACCAACCCGAUGCAAACUGCGAAUACCGGAGAAUGUUAUCACGGGAGACACACGGCGGGUGCUAACGUCCGUCGUGAAGAGGGAAACAACCCAGACCGCCAGCUAAGGUCCCAAAGUCAUGGUUAAGUGGGAAACGAUGUGGGAAGGCCCAGACAGCCAGGAUGUUGGCUUAGAAGCAGCCAUCAUUUAAAGAAAGCGUAAUAGCUCACUGGUCGAGUCGGCCUGCGCGGAAGAUGUAACGGG
rnacentral:rRNA from 1 species